CAGAUCUCUCUAUGUUGUGCUAACAGUGGAGGUUCAUACUCACACAACGCCUACCAUGGUAGACGCACAAUUAAUAGUUCCAGUAAUCCGAGGCAACCCUGUAUCAAGUACCAAUGACAAAUUUAUGACACUGGGCCUGUACAAGUUUCCAGUCCUUUACAGCGACAGCAUGUGUCUUAUACUGGGUUACAAUAAAGCAAGGAGACCCCGGAUUUGCUUGAUGUGGAUGCCAGAAAACCGUGUCAAGUGGCCACCAAUACACUGCGAUUUUAUCUUCUUUUUAAUAUGUAAAGGACUUGGGGUCCAGGUUUACCAACAGUCAUGCGAUCCGAAACAACAAACGGCAACAUUACAUGGUCAUUAACUACAAGAAACUACAGUGCAUAUUGCCCCUAUUGGAGUAAAAAUAAGUAUUUAUGACGUCUGUGCUUUGCAACGCG